CGCCUCUUGGAAACAAUGAAUAAGAGGUCCCGCCUGCCCUGUGACUAUAUGUUUAACGGCCGCGGUAUUUUGACCGUGCAAAGGUAGCGCAAUCACUUGUCCUUUAAAUGAGGACCUGUAUGAAUGGCACAACGAGGGCUUAACUGUCUCCUUUUUCAAGUCAAUGAAAUUGAUCUUCCCGUGCAGAAGCGGGAAUAAAAACAUAAGACGAGAAGACCCUAUGGAGCUUUAGACACAAAACAGAUCACGUCAAACACCCUCCAAUAAGAGCAUAAACUAAGUGAGCCCUGCUUAAAUGUCUUUGGUUGGGGCGACCGCGGGGCAACAAAAAACCCCCAAGUGGAAUAAAAACACCCUUUUUAAAACUAAGAGCUACCGCUCUAAUGAACAGAAUAUCUGACCUGUAAGAUCCGGCCCAGCCGAUCAACGAACCGAGUUACCCUAGGGAUAACAGCGCAAUCCUCUUUUAGAGCCCAUAUCGACAAGAGGGUUUACGACCUCGAUGUUGGAUCAGGACAUCCUAAUGGUGCAGCCGCUAUUAAGGGUUCGUUUGUUCAACGAUUAAAGUCCU
rnacentral:rRNA from 1 species